CUAAAAAAUUUUCAGAUUCAGUAAUUGAAAAGAUCCCUAGAAUUACAGAUAUACAACUUCUUGGAGAAGUUGCAACCGAAGAAUUUAUCAUUCCAAAGAAAAAAAUUAAUAUCUAAAACUACAAAACCUGAAAUUUCCGAUACGUCAAAAUCGGGUGCUAAAUUACCUAAAACUACUACAAUACCCAAAUAUUCCGCUGAUGAAUUUAUGAAGAAGCAUGCUGUAAGUAUGCAAAAACCUGAUUCGUCUCUAACCGAAUCUGAACCUGAAAUGUAUUUAUUAAAGAAAGAUUCGCCACAAUAUAUUAUUUUUUAAAAAAUAGAACAUCCGCCAUUAAAAUUCAUAUCUAAACGUUCGUUGUCCUCUUCUAAACCAAUUCCUGUAUCUAUUAUUAAGUUUUCUACCUCUAAAUUUGAAAUUAAGGAAAAAGAAAAAUCUAUAAUCGAAAAAUCGAUCAUAUCUGAUGAUGAUGAUUUAAUAUAAAAACCUGAAAUCGAUGCAGAUCAAACUGUAGAUGAUAGUAAAGAAACGGUGCGUAUAGAUGGCAAAUAUAGGCGGACAACUGAAGAUUUCACUCCUAAACCAGACUUAAUUUCAGACAAGCUUGAAGAUGGAGUUACUUUGGCAAAAUUUACAGACAUUGUAGGAAAAGAUGAGAUAAUCGUCGAAGAAAUUGAAAGUGUUUAUGAUGCUACAUCAUCAAGAAGAUCCAGAUCGGAAAGCAUCGAUAAAGAUAUGAAGUCAGUAUCACAGAAAAUUAAAUCGUAUAAAACUUUGUCUGAAGAUAUAUCUAUAAAAGAAAUAGAUGGCUCUAAAAGUACAUUUUCCGGAGAAAGUACGAGUGAAAGAUCAUCAUCUGAAGAAUCUUCCCAACAAUACGUCUAUAUUUGAAGAAUAUUCCGAAGAAUGCACAUUAUUUGAAGAAUCUAUAAAAGAAAAUAUCAAAGAAGAUAUUAAAAACUGCGAUAUAGAAAUUGAAGCAAAUUAUUCAUCUAAAGGAUUACUGAAG
rnacentral:lncRNA from 1 species